rnacentral:rRNA from 1 species
UACGAAGGGGGCUAGCGUUGCUCGGAAUCACUGGGCGUAAAGGGUGCGUAGGCCGCACGGAAAGUCAGAGGUGAAAUCCCGGAGCUCAACUUCGGAAUUGCCUCCGAUACUCCCGUGCUUGAGGACUGGAGAGGAGUCUGGAAUUCACAGUGGAGCAGUGAAAUGCGUAGAUAUUGUGAGGAACACUAGUGGCGAAGGCGAGACUCUGGACAGUUCCUGACGCUGAGGCACGAAGGCCAGGGGAGCAAACGGG